rnacentral:other from 1 species
UGUUCCCUGCGGUGUUCGUCAAGGUCAUAGACUCCUUGGACCAAUGUUGAUUGGCAUUGGUGGCCGACCUGAGAACUGCUGUUGUGCCCGUCCCUUAUGUCGGAUGGGCCUGAUGCGGAAGGAAGGCUGCCUUUUCUGGACCCAGGUUCAGGAUGCCGGCCUAACGGCACAGGCGGGGAUUUU